CUGUACGUUAGUAACCGUUAUGCUCCUCUGCCAAUAGCUAGCUAACGUUAACGUCCGUUAACGUUUACCGUUAUUAUCGUUAUGCUCAUCUGCCGCUAGCUAGACGGUAACGUUAACCUCUAUUAACGUUUAAUGUUACCGUUUAUAACGUUAUGCUUCUCUGCCGCAAGAUAACGUUACACGGCACGUUAAGGUCUCUUAACUUUAAACCUCUUUGCGUCUAAUGUUCGAGGCUGGCUGGCUUGACCGAAGUUUCGGAGUCUUUGAUAUGUUAACUUGCCCGUAUCGUCGUGAUUUAAGUCAUCUCUUGUUAAUUUUUUUUUCAGUUUGUUGUCUGUUGGUGUAACAUAACUUUUUGCGACGUCUGUGCCUUCUCCUGGAGUCUUUUCUGGCUGUUGGACGGAUGGACGGUGAAAGCUUUGGUGAAACGUUACGGUGGUUUAACAUCAAACGGCCAUGAAGACCAUACAUCUUACCAGCUUGACAACUCUCCAGCUGACUCUUCAUCUUAAGGGCUACAAAGCCAUGUCACUAUUUACAUCUGACUGGGUGAGAUCGUAUGAAGUCUGGUGGGAGAAAAUGCCACUAAAUUUGCGACAAUGUGUCGCACAAGGCCAGUGACCCAUGAAGCAGGAGCAUUUAUCUAUGAUGAGAACGAUUAUGGACUCGAUCCGAGAUUAAUGCUUGAACCCUACUAGAAGCCACUGUUUGCUGUCACAUAUGCUUGUAAGAGCUAUGCCAUCACCAACCCCCACACAGCAAUGAUAAACUCAAAGAACAGUGGCUAUUUCUUCACAUGAAAAGAUUUCUGUGAUCACUUGAAAACACUGACUGGGAUGGAUGUUAACACCAGAAGGAAAGAAGAUUGAACCCUUUUUUGAAUGCGACGAUUUUUAUAUAUAGCGUAAAAUAACUAAUCACAAUAUGGAAUGUUGUAAGAUUUUCUUCAGACAAGAAUCCCAAGUGAAUGAAUCCAACGGACUUUGGUGUGUGAAGUGACAUGACAUGUCUCAACUAUUGGAUUGAUUUCUAGAAAAUGUUAUGUUUUGCAGGCAUUGGGUCAUAAACCAAAUCCCUUUCAAUCUCAGCUCACUUAAUUGAUCUGUGCUUGCUGUACCAUCCUGCAGGUACCUUCUGUGGUCUUUAUCCUGCCAUCACUCUUCACAUGAACACAGGCAUAUGGUGUGAACACUUGGCUCUUAUUGUCAGCCAUAUGGUAUGAAAAGUUAUUAAAAAGAAGACUGCGCUGGGAAGCUCUUUGAAGAUUGUAUUUCCUGUAGAGCUUCCCCUGCAUGUCAGAGGAAUGAAAGCAGAGGAAAGAGAAGGAAACAUAUUUUAUAAUAAGAGAUGACUUGUCCCAAGCGAUGUAGAGAGCGGAGCAGUUGCAGAUGGCUUGUUUCAGGAAACCACGGGCCCAAAAGGGAUCCCUCUCUGCUGUGCAUUUAGUAUACAAACUACAAAGGCAGGCUGCGGUCAGCACACCCUUGUGAAAGGGGCUAAAAUAGUGUCAGCAGGAUGUCCAACAGACUGCAGGCAAACAGAAGAGAGAGCAGAAACGGACACGUGAAGGAGAGGGGAGCACACCGUGUGACCUACAGAGUCAACGUCUUUGAUAAUGAAUGGGAAUCACAGAAAAAUAAAUAUUUAAUCUUACUGACAAGUUCCCAUAACUGAACUGUAAUUGAUGAUGGAUGUAGGUAUUCAAAGCCAUUUCAGAUGCAAAUACACUUCACCAGUUUUGACUGUUCGCUGUGAGCAGCGAUUGUCCAAUCAUAGCUAAGCAACUGUAAACCAUACCAAGCUUUAAACUACUCAAUAUUCCUAAACAAAGUUUUUGGGUUUCUACUAAGAGCGAUAUUCAGUAGGCUAUACAAAGAGUUUGGAUGGCUGUGUCUUUUCUUAGCUUUUCCAAAACCACCAAACGCAAAAACAAAAGUGUUAGGAAUGGAUUGAAGAGUCUCUGCUCUACUGUAAGUAGUUAACAUUAGCAUGCCUCAUACUCACCUAGCAUUACUUCCAAGGCCAAGAGUUAACAUAUAGCAUUAUUUUAUGGGGUUACAGGUUAUUUUACAAAAAGCUGUGUUCAGCCCUGCAUGCUACUGUAUCAGAGCUUAGGCUAAUGGUAGCAGCUCUCUAGCGUCAGCUGGAAACAUUACAAAAGUUAGUUUUCAACCAAUUUAAUGUUUAGCCAACCGUCCCGUCCAGUUGUUGCUGUCUCUAAGCCAGACAUUGUGAAAGCCCAGCUGUGCAUAAGUUGACCUUGCCAUUGAUUAGAAGCCAGCCCACAUUUGAACACCAUUAGUUGAUUGUGGUAUGUUUCGUUGCCGUCAAAACCUUGAUUAUCAUACAUUCAGAUUACUUAUGAAAAUGGUUAUUCGUUUACUGACUAAUGUAAAAAACAGAGCCCUGCACCUCCUACACAGGCAGCAAAGCAACAUUCUGCCUCUCCUAACUUGGUAGAAUCACAUGCUGUCUUAAACUUUUAGAAUUGUUUUUGUGUCA